rnacentral:rRNA from 1 species
UACGUAGGGUGCAAGCGUUGUCCGGAAUUAUUGGGCGUAAAGAGCUUGUAGGCGGUUUGUCGCGUCUGCUGUGAAAAUCCGGGGCUCAACCCCGGACUUGCAGUGGGUACGGGCAGACUAGAGUGCGGUAGGGGAGAUUGGAAUUCCUGGUGUAGCGGUGGAAUGCGCAGAUAUCAGGAGGAACACCAAUGGCGAAGGCAGAUCUCUGGGCCGUAACUGACGCUGAGGAGCGAAAGCGUGGGGAGCGAACAGG